rnacentral:rRNA from 1 species
GAUCAUGGCUCAGGAUGAACGCUAGCGACAGGCUUAACACAUGCAAGUCGAGGGGCAGCGGGGAGUAGCAAUACUCUGCCGGCGACCGGCGCACGGGUGAGUAACGCGUAUCCAACCUGCCGUCUACUCUUGGACAGCCUUCUGAAAGGAAGAUUAAUACAAGAUGGCAUCAUGAGUUCACAUGUUCACAUGAUUAAAGGUAUUCCGGUAGACGAUGGGGAUGCGUU